ACACGACUACAUUAGAUACCCGCGUAGUCCUAGCCGUAAACGAUACUCGCUAGGUGUCGGCCACGGUGCGACCGUUGUCGGUGCCGUAGGGAAGCCGUGAAGCGAGCCACCUGGGAAGUACGGCCGCAAGGCUGAAACUUAAAGGAAUUGGCGGGGGAGCACCACAACGGGUGGAGCUUGCGGUUUAAUUGGAUUCAACGCCGGAAAUCUUACCGGGACCGACAGCAAUAUGAAGGCCAGGCUGAAGACUUUGCCGGAUUAGCUG
rnacentral:rRNA from 1 species